GACGAACGCUGGCGGCGUGCUUAACACAUGCAAGUCGAACGGAAAGGCCCUGCUUUUGUGGGGUGCUCGAGUGGCGAACGGGUGAGUAACACGUGAGUAACCUGCCCUUGACUUUGGGAUAACUUCAGGAAACUGGGGCUAAUACCGGAUAGGAGCUCCUGCUGCAUGGUGGGGGUUGGAAAGUUUCGGCGGUUGGGGAUGGACUCGCGGCUUAUCAGCUUGUUGGUGGGGUAGUGGCUUACCAAGGCUUUGACGGGUAGCCGGCCUGAGAGGGUGACCGGCCAACAUGGGACUGGGGUAAGGCCCAGGACUCUUCGGGGGGGAAGAGGGGGGAAUAUUGCACAAUGGGCGGAAGCCUGAUGCAGCAACGCCGCGUGCGGGAUGACGGCCUUCGGGUUGUAAACCGCUUUCGCCUGUGACGAAGCGUGAGUGACGGUAAUGGGUAAAGAAGCACCGGCUAACUACGUG
rnacentral:rRNA from 1 species